rnacentral:rRNA from 1 species
UACAUGGGCGACGACCGGCAAACGGGUGCGUAACACGUACGCAAUCUACCCACUACAGGGGAAUAGCCCAGGGAAACUUGGAUUAAUACCCCAUAUUAUAUAGGAGUGGCACCACUUUUAUAUCAAAGCUUCGGCGGUAGUGGAUGAGCGUGCGGUUGAUUAGAUAGUUGGCGGGGUAACGGCCCACCAAGUCUACGAUCAAUAGCUGAUGUGAGAGCAUGAUCAGCCACACGGGCACUGAGACACGGGCCCGACUCCUACGGGAGGCAGCAGUAAGGAAUAUUGGGCAAUGGACGCAAGUCUGACCCAGCCAUGCCGCGUGAAGGAUGAAGGUCCUCUGGAUUGUAAACUUCUUUUAUCUGGGGCGAAAACAACUCUUUCUAGAGUUCUUGACAGUACCAGAGGAAUAAGCACCGGCUAACUCCGUGCCAGCAGCCGCGGUAAUACGGAGGGUGCAAGCGUUAUCCGGAUUCACUGGGUUUAAAGGGUGCGUAGGCGGGCUAGUAAGU